rnacentral:rRNA from 1 species
UGAGGAAUAUUGGUCAAUGGGCGCGAGCCUGAACCAGCCAAGUAGCGUGAAGGAUGAAGGUCCUACGGAUUGUAAACUUCUUUUAUAAGGGAAUAAAGUCACCCACGUGUGGGUGUUUGUAUGUACCUUAUGAAUAAGCAUCGGCUAACUCCGUGCCAGCAGCCGCGGUAAUACGGAGGAUGCGAGCGUUAUCCGGAUUUAUUGGGUUUAAAGGGAGCGUAGACGGGCCGUUAAGUCAGCUGUGAAAGUUUGAGGCUCAACCUUAAAAUUGCAGUUGAUACUGGCGUCCUUGAGUACGGUUGAGGCAGGCGGAAUUCGUGGUGUAGCGGUGAAAUGCUUAGAUAUCACGAAGAACCCCGAUUGCGAAGGCAGCCUGCUAAACCGCCACUGACGUUGAGGCUCGAAAGUGUGGGUAUCAAACAGGAUUAGAUACCCUGGUAGUCCACACGGUAAACGAUGGAUACUCGCUGUUGGCGAUAGACUGUCAGCGGCUUAGCGAAAGCGUUAAGUAUCCCACCUGGGGAGUACGCCGGCAACGGUGAAACUCAAAGGAAUUGACGGGGGCCCGCACAAGCGGAGGAACACGUGGUUUAAUUCGAUGAUACGCGAGGAACCUUACCCGGGCUUGAAUUGCAGACGAAUUGCUUGGAAACAGGCAAGCCGCAAGGCGUCUGUGAAGGUGCUGCAUGGUUGUCGUCAGCUCGUGCCGUGAGGUGUCGGCUUAAGUGCCAUAACGAGCGCAACCCUCGUGUCCAGUUACUAGCAGGUUAUGCUGAGGACUCUGGACAGACUGCCAUCGUAAGAUGUGAGGAAGGUGGGGAUGACGUCAAAUCAGCACGGCCCUUACGUCCGGGGCUACACACGUGUUACAAUGGGGGGUACAGCAGGCAGCUACCGGGCGACCGGAUGCCAAUCCCGAAAGCCUCUCUCAGUUCGGACUGGAGUCUGCAACCCGACUCCACGAAGCUGGAUUCGCUAGUAAUCGCGCAUCAGCCACGGCGCGGUGAAUACGUUCCC